UGUUGAAAUGUCAUCAUAUUGGGACGACAACUAUAUCUUCGGGCAGUAUUCUAGCGAAAAGUGGGGGCACGAAAGCGUUCCGGAGUCUGGCGUUCCCGAUUCUAAUGAGCAAGAGGAGGUUGUGUUUAGUAUACAAG